CUCAACGCAUGCCGAGCAUCGGCUCGCUGCCGUGCCGUGCUGCACCACUCCGCUGCUCGCCCAUACCGUCCUCAUCUCUAUCCCGAGCCGCCCACUGCUCUCUCCCACACGCGCCCCUCUUCUUCCUCCCUUCGCUCUUCUUCUUCCUCCUCUACUCAGAGCUCGAACGGAGCCAUGGAUGGCCUCCUAGCCUCCGGCCGAUUCGACGUCUCCACGACCUCCCAGUCCAAACCCUCGCACCCAAUCCUCCCCCACCACCUCCUCCAGCUUCCCCAAACCCCAGCCGAACUCCUUCUCGGCCCAAUUGACGGGAAUCGAAGCUCCAGACCACCAUGAACAGUAGUUCCGCCCCUCACCGUCGAAGUCCUACCUUCGGUCCUUCUCCAUCCAACCUAGGUAUAGAAAUCGACUCCCCUCGACUCACUGAUGCUUGUGCUCUCCUCGUUCUUACACGUUCCCAUUGUUUCCGCGCUCGUUCCCGAGCCAUGCCGCUGCCGGCAUGCUGCUGCUCGCCGCAAGCCACGUGCACGCGCCUCUGUGCCGCGCCGCCGAGCGCCCCCACUCCACCCAGCCUUGCUGAAUCCUCCCAUGGCCGCCCCGUCGCCAGCCACUCACCGGAGCGCCGCCACACGCUGUCGCCGACCGCCGCCGUGCACUGCUCCCGUGGACAGCACGCCUCCGGCCGCCCUCCGCCACGCUAAGAUCACCCAAAGUGACUGAACCGUCGGAGAACGAACCCAUUGAGCCUGCCGAGUCCGUCGAGCCUGAACCCGGAGUCCAGUUCAUGGUCGAGCCCGAAGUUAACCAAGGCAAGCAGCUAAGCAUAAUCCCUUGCACCUAUUUAAUUUGAUUAGUUUAGUUAUCUCACUUGGAUAUUGUUGGGUUAUAUAUAUACUAUGUACGUAUUACAUUCUUGUACCUA